rnacentral:rRNA from 1 species
UACGUAGGGUGCAAGCGUUAAUCGGAAUUACUGGGCGUAAAGCGUGCGCAGGCGGUUAUGCGAGACAGAUGUGAAAUCCCCGGGCUCAACCUGGGAACUGCAUUUGUGACUGCAUGGCUAGAGUACGGUAGAGGGGGAUGGAAUUCCGCGUGUAGCAGUGAAAUGCGUAGAUAUGCGGAGGAACACCGAUGGCGAAGGCAAUCCCCUGGACCUGUACUGACGCUCAUGCACGAAAGCGUGGGGAGCAAACAGG